rnacentral:rRNA from 1 species
CGGUUGAUCCCGCCGGACCCCACUGCUAUCGGGAUAGGACUAAGACAUGCUAGUCGAGCGCCUCCCAAUGUUGAGACGCGGCGCACGGCUCAGUAACUCGCGGCCAACCUGCCCUUGGGACAGGGAUAACCCCGGGAAACUGGGGGUAAUCCCUGAUAGGUGAGAGUCCCUGGAAGGGGUUCUCGCUGAAAGGACGUUUAGACCAUGCUUCUAGGCGUCGCCCAAGGAGGGGGCCGCGACCGAUCAGGUUGUUGGUGAGGUAACGGCUCACCAAGCCUUUAACCGGUACGGGCCGUGAGAGCGGAAGCCCGGAGAUGGGCACUGAGACAAGGGCCCAGGCCCUACGGGGCGCAGCAGUCGCGAAAACUCCGCAAUACACGAAAGUGUGACGGGGCUAUCCCGAGUGCCAUCCGCUGAGGAUGGCUUUUCCCCAGUGUAUAAAGCUGGGGGAAUAAGGAGAGGGCAAGCCUGGUGUCAGCCGCCGCGGUAAUACCAGCUCUCCGAGUGGUGGGGAUGCUUAUUGGGCCUAAAGCAUUCGUAGCCGGCCGGGCAAGUCCUCCGUUAAAUCCAACGAUUCAAUCGUUGGGCUGCGGGGGAUACUGUCCGGCUAGGGGGCGGGAGAGGCCGACGGUAUUCUCGGGGUAGGGGUGAAAUCCUAUAAUCCCGGGAGGACCACCAGUGGCGAAGGCUGUCGGCUAGAACGCGCUCGACGGUGAGGGAUGAAAGCUGGGGGAGCGAACCGGAUUAGAUACCCGGGUAGUCCCAGCUGUAAACGAUGCAGGCUAGGUGUUGGGGCGGCUACGUGCCGCUCCAGUGCCGCAGGGAAGCCGUUAAGCCUGCCGCCUGGGAAGUACGGCCGCAAGGCUGAAACUUAAAGGAAUUGGCGGGGGAGCAC